CAAAUUCUGUGGUACUUAGCGUAGUUUGUUUACAUAAUGUUUCAUAUCACAUAUGGCCUCCAAAGCAAUUAAGUCUGAAUCUACAGCCUGUAGUCACAUGGCAAGCUCUACAUCCCUCCUGAACUCUCUAGUGUCACAGCCUCAGCAGAGACAAACUCUGUUUCCACUUUUACUUGUAAUCCUUUAAUACCAAUGUUAAUGAACAGGCAAUAACAGGGCUAAUGAACAGGUGAUAACAGGGCUAAUAAACAGGCGAUAACAGGGCUAAUGAACAGGUGAUAACAGGGCUAAUGAACAGGCGAUAACAGGGCUAAUGAACAGGCGAUAACAGGGCUAAUGAACAGGCGAUAACAGAACUAAUGAACAGGGGAUAACAGGACUAAUGAACAGGCAAUAACAGGGCUAAUGAACAGGCGAUAACAGGACUAAUAAACAGGGGUAAUGAACAGGCGAUAACAGGACUAAUGAACAGGCGAUAACAGGACUAAUGAACAGGCAAUAACAGGGCUAAUAAACAGGGGUAAUGAACAGGCGAUAACAGGACUAAUGAACAGGCGAUAACAGGACUAAUGAACAGGCGAUAACAGGGCUAAUGAACAGGCGAUAACAGGACUAAUGAACAGGCGAUAACAGGGCUAAUGAACAGGCGAUAACAGGGCUAAUGAACAGGCGAUAACAGGGCUAAUAAACAGGGGUAAUGAACAGGCGAUGAACAGGCGAUAACAGGCGAUAACAGGACUAAUGAACAGGCGAUAACAGGACUAAUGAACAGGCGAUAACAGGACUAAUGAACAGGGGAUAGCCGGACUAAUGAACAGGCGAUAACAGGGCUAAUGAACAGGCGAUAACAGGGCUAAUGAACAGGCGAUAACAGGGCUAAUGAACAGGGGAUAACAGGGCUAAUGAACAGGCGAUAACAGGACUAAUGAACAAGCGAUAACAGGACUAAUGAACAGGCGAUAACAGGGCUAAUGAACAGGUGAUAACAGGGCUAAACAGGGAUAAUGAAAAGGGGAUAACAGGGCACUCAUGAGCUGAAGCAGGAAAAAGUGAGAAUCCUUGGUUUGGUCUCCUUGGUUUGGUCUCCUUGGUUUGGACUCCUUGGUUCGGACUCCUUGGUUCGGACUCCUUGGUUCGGACUCCCUGGUUUGGACUUCUUGGAUUGGUCUCCUUGGAGGAGAGAAAAAGCUGUGAGAAGAGGGAGACGAUGGAUCCUGGAUGAUUCACACACAGACACACGCAUACACACACAGAACACGAACACACACACACACACACACCGCACACACACACACACACACACACACACACACACACACAGCUCUUCCUCCCCGGUCCAACUCCUCCUCCAGGUUGGCGCACGCUGCUUGGUCUUCUUGUGGUGGGUAAUUCUGUCACGCUCGCUAUUCU
ensembl:lncRNA